rnacentral:rRNA from 1 species
AAAGGGUGCGUAGGCGGCCUGUUAAGUCAGAGGUGAAAGACGGUAGCUCAACUAUCGCAGUGCCUUUGAUACUGAUGGGCUUGAAUGGACUAGAGGUAGGCGGAAUGAGACAAGUAGCGGUGAAAUGCAUAGAUAUGUCUCAGAACACCGAUUGCGAAGGCAGCUUACUAUGGUUUUAUUGACGCUGAGGCACGAAAGCGUGGGGAUCAAACAGGAUUAGAUACCCCGGU